ensembl:snoRNA small nucleolar RNA, H/ACA box 65
CCCGCCACCGCGCAAGUCUGCGUUCAGCUGUGGCUUGUGCAUUCCAGUGGUGAGCUGAGAGGAGCCCCCCGUUCUAGGAAACAGUGUUACUCUCUCCGUGGGUAACUCUGUGCCGCGAACUGGGAACACGG